UCAUGGUUACAAGGGUUAUUUCUACAAGCCUCUGAAGAACAGCCUUCUUUGACACCUUGGGCACUUAACACUGACACCAGCUCCUUCACUGAACAGAAGCCAGCCCUUUAAAAUAAAGCAAAUCUCCAGGAAUGUACCUUGCUCUCCGUGGAACAGACCCAAAGACUUCACAAUUUGUACGAUCUUCAGUGGACAGCCCUUCACCCACUCCUUCUAUCUCUGAAACAACAGCUGCACUGCACUGAUCCAAAAUGAAUCGAACAUCCUGCACCAAAACACAGGAUUACUGAAUUAAGAAUUUCUGUAACAUUCAAUAAACAAGUUGUAUCAAA